GAAACCCCCGGUCCCGGUCCCGUUCAUACGCGGACACGCCUGCCUCCUCCCGUCGGCCGUCGCAAUGGACGUCUCUGCUCCUCCACGAUCUAGACUCUAGAGCAGGCGGACCCUGAACGGAAGGUGGGCGCUGCAUGCGGAGCGGAGGUUCUAGGCGCUCGAGCUGGUGCGGACCGUCAAUGGGGGAGGAAGCCUGACGCGGAAGCCAGGUCGUACUACUCCGGUGGCGGACUGGCUGGCUGCGACGCCACCUCUCCGAGGGAAGGCGCCGACUUCUUCGGUGUUCUUCGGAACUGCGCUGUUCGUUCUAGGUUUUGUGUCCCUCUUCACGGGACACGUGGUCACUGAUGCAUGCUGACUGGGCGCGGUUCCGGACUCGGUGGCGAUCCAAGCAGGUAAUUUGUUGGAGACUUGACUGCUCUACUAUAUAAUUCUGAUUCCACGGAAAUUUUGUCAUUGUGUGGAGUGUGAUAUCAUGCGUCUCAUAGCUCGGUAGAAGCGAAGGAAGUUGGUUCCAUCUGUUUUCGAGCUGCAUGAGGCCCUGUUCGGUUUUCAGGGAUUGGAGGUCCGGAUUGAUUCCUAGCCGGAUUACUUCUCUAAUUUAUAUAUAUUUAGAUGAGCUGAAACGAAUCCUGCUUUAUUCCACUAUAACCGAACGGACCCUGAGGGCCUGUUCGGUUCCUACGGAACGGUAGCUCUGAACGAUUCCAGUCCGGAUUGUUUGUCUAAUUAAUAUAAGCAUCGAUGAACUGGGUUGAAUCCUAUUGAAUUCCGGAACAACCGAACAGGCUCUGAGGCCUUGUUCGUUUGUUCAGGAAUGAAGCAGGAAUAAUUUCAGCUGAUCAAAACUUAUAUAAAUUAGCAAAACAAACCGUCUAGUAAUUGUUUGAUGUCUUCAUUCCGGAAGAAACGAACGGCACCUGACGAAUUUGAGAAACUGAGCCCAAGAGUAUAGUAUUUUCUGGCAAUAGCAAGUUUACCUGAAACGUUUUUUUUUUGUGUGCGCCUUAAAUGUUUUCAGUUUCCUUCGCAAGUUCUGCACUUCUGCUUGUACUGAUUUUGGGACUUUUUAAUCUAAAAAUGGUAUCUCCUCUUCAUUGGCAGUUAACGACUGACCAUUUACAAUCCUGAAAAUGUGCAGCAUAGUAGAAACUGAGAACGUACGUAUCAAAUAUUUGGGAAUCAAUAUUCCGGUUGCUUUGUUCUUAUCAUCCCUUAUUGUGUGUUACCUUUAUGACGUUUCAGUUUGCACGUAACAGAUGUUGCCGUAGCUGUCUGGAUUUUGAAUGCAAUACUUGUUGUACCUGAGUUAGGACCGCACCACUGAUUCUGGGAGGACGGCGUCAGGUGAGUGGAGAAGUACAAAUUACAGGAUGUUUUCUGAAUGUUACCGUUCCAAAAUGGUUUGGCUUCAAAUUUCGUAUGCAGUGACUUCUCCGACGAUUUUUUAACGUGGAGUGAUUCAUUUCCUAUACCUAUCAAAGGAUGUAAUACUGUCAAAAGGAUCUCUUAUCAAGCAAUAUUGUUAGUGGGUAAACUAUCG
rnacentral:lncRNA from 1 species